UGUCGUGUGACCCUCCUGUCGCGUUCACUGGAUUCUACUUCAUGUUUCUGUCUGGAAUGUGUUCAUUUCCUUUGCACUCAAGCUUCAUAGGUUCUUUCUGUCCGCAGGUAACAGCCUGAUCUCUCCACAUUUCUCCGCCACUAGUUAUUUCUUAAAGAGUUUCACGAAGUCACGACUUUUGUGAGUUUGCGUUUAUCUCCGCAGGAACCUGGUCGAUUGUGCUCUCCUGUGCGGCGACGUUUCGCCUCCUGGCAGUUGCAGGGGAACUCCCCGUUUUCAUGGUGCUCCGAGUAGGUCAAAUGCCUUUCGAUAGGGCUUCCCCUUAAUCUUUUAGUAUCAGAUUCAACAAGUUCACUAUUAAUGGUGGUACUACAGAGAUCGCGUUAGUUCUUAGGAAAACGAGUUCGGAACCCCCCAUCUAGAUUGAUACAAAGCGUUAAACAGUCCUCCGUACUACGCCGGCGUCACGGAAUUCUUUUUCAUUCUGACUUUGUUUCCAGCAUUGUGUCUUGCCGCCGUAUUUGUUCUCAAUUUAUUCGUUCUUUCGAAUCCUCAUUUCGUUCCAUCAUUGAUGGCGUACCGCAUGCGCUCACGCGUUCUUCGAAUUUCAACCUUCAAGUUUCGUAGCUGCGAUUCCCGCUGUUCGAUCGCGAGAUCCAGUCGCUCGACGACUCUCCACCCAGCCAGUAGUUCAUCAGCAACUUUGAGCUGCAAAGUAAAUUCCUCCUUGGAAAUCAAGUUCUCUUGCCUCAAAACGGCUUCUCGCUCUGCCGUCAACAGCUGAACCACCGUCGACGUCCCUGAAAAACGAAGAGGAAAACCAAGAGAAUGCGGGGACGCAGUG
rnacentral:lncRNA from 1 species